AUUGAACGCUGGCGGCAGGCCUAACACAUGCAAGUCGAACGAGUGGCGGACGGGUGAGUAAUGUCUGGGAAACUGCCUGAUGGAGGGGGAUAACUACUGGAAACGGUAGCUAAUACCGCAUACCAUCGGAUCUGCCCAGAUGGGAUUAGCUAGUGGGUGGGGUAAAGGCUCACCUAGGCGACGAUCCCUAGCUGGGUGGAGAGGAUGACCAGCAGACCUGGAACUGAGACACGGCCCAGAUUCCUACGGGAGGCAGAAGUGGGGAAUAUUGGACAAUGGGCGAACUCCUGAUGCAGCCAUGCCGCGUGUAUGAUGAAGGCCUUCGGGUUGUAAAGUACUUUCAGCAGGGAGGCGUUACCUGCAGAAGAAGCACCGGCUAACUCCGUGCCAGCAGCCGCGGUAAUUC
rnacentral:rRNA from 1 species